UGAAAACUGUCUUUAUUUUUUCAAAUUAAGGGAAUAUCUGUGGUGUGAUACCGCGGGCUCAUGGGCUAAGGACUUGGAUUGACAAGUCAAGCGCAGAUGAUUGUGUUGUUUCUUAUAAAGGCUUGUGUGUGUGUGUGCCUUCCUGUGUGUGUCCUUGUGUCAGUGGAACUGAAUCAGUGUGUUAGAGAAAGUGCUCCUCUGCUGUGCCGUCAUCGUGUGGAUGCUUCUUUUAAAGUUGGAACUCAUGUUUUUAUGAUCUGCUUCAUUUCAUUGAACCUUUAUUUCUAACCAUGAAGUCCCUUUGAGGUUACAGCCUCCUGGUUAGGUUUAGGCUGUUCUUGUGCUUCAGGCUGAAAUAUGAGGAGUAAGGAGUGGGGCUGGUUAGCCCUCAUGACCCUCACCAUAACACAUACGUCACAGGACAGUGUUUACCACAGAAACUCCAUGAAAUGAUCAAUGAGAACUUUAGAAACCCGUCAGUGUGAUGCUUCCAGUACAACAGCACCUCUGAGUGUGUGUGUUUACCUCUCAGACUAACUCCACCCUGACAUCAAGAAGAUGGAGGAAGAGGAUGGAGCAGCAUCUGCAGCAUCCAGCUGUGUGUCUGUGAGGAGUGACUGGUCCAAAGGAGAACCUCGACAGUUCAGUAAUGAACCUGCAGCAACAAUAGCUUCUGCACAGUGUGGAGAAAGAUCCAGAAGCAGAGCUGGACUGCAGACAGCCAGUCAGAGCAGCUGUGUACAAACAGAUGUUGGUCUGCAGGAGGUUUUAGAUGAACAUAAGAUCAGUCUGAGGAGGAGA